AGGAUGCAGCGCGCUGGCGGGAGGUUUGGAGCAGAUGGAUACCGUAUCGACGUGGGGCCUCCGGUAUGUUGCCGCUGCGUUGAGGUAGGAUGGGGCUGGCGAGUCUUCCCUUCCCAGGACUUCGCAGAGGGGGCGAUGGGGCUGGAUUUCCUCCCCUUGUCCCCGCAUUGCGGGAGAGAGGGAAGGAAGCGGGCAUCCCGAGACCUGGGUCUGUCAUUCCUUGCAAUGAUAAUUGGAUUUUAAGUGCUACAUUCGCUUGAAGUUUUUUUCAUCCCUUCAGUAUCCUUCCAACUUGGAGUGUGAGAUGCUUAAUGAGCAAAAUAUCUCUGAAAUCUUUAAUCUCAAAUAAUUAUAUAAAGUUAAAAAAAGCGUGUUUCGGCUUAUUAAGGUAGUUGUGUUCAGCCGGGGGGGUGGGGGGGUGUGUGUGGGGGGGGCGGUUUUACCACCCAGGGGACCUUUGGCAACCUCUGGAGACAUUUUUAGUCACCACUGCUAGGGGCCGGGGGCAAAAGAGAUGCUCACUGGCUACUAGUGGAUAGAGACCAGGGAAGCUGCCAAACAUCCUCCAGUGUACAUGAAAAUUCACAACAGUUAUCCAGCCCAAAAUGUCAAUAGUGUCAAGGUUGAGAAAGAUUUAGAUUUAAAGGGACUGGAACAAAUUUUAUUCGUCAGUUAAAAACAAUUGAAAGAAAAUAGUUGCGCAUACAAUAUUGCCUUUUUUAAAGUUGAAAGAUACUGAAAACUACAAACAAGUUGUAAGAAUAGUCCCCCAUAUUUCCAUCAACCGUAGUCAUCCAUGACAGAAUGGCAUGUUAGCAUCUUUUGUCCUAGACUUUUAAAUAUAUUUACAUUUUUUAUGGGAAAAAAUGAACACAUUGUUUAAACGUUGUUUGACUACAUCCUUAAAAGAUAUUUCAGAUAUAACUAAAGUCUCCUUCUACCUCUACUCACCUAUCCUGGACACUUCCUUGUCCAGAAUCAACAGCAUUCAGAAUUUGGCAUGAAAUGUUUACAGUUUUACAUUUUUUUAUUUUGGAUCAUACUGCCUGGGUUUGAAUCCUGGCUCUGUCACUUCUUAUCUGCAAGCCUUUGAGAAGAUCCUGAAACUCCUUGCCUCAGUUUCUCCAUCUAUAAAAUGGGAUAGUAACAGUGCCUAUGUCAUAAGGAUGUUGUGAGGAAGAAACGAGUUAAUCCAAAGUGCUUAGAGCAGUACCUGGCACUGUUUCUUCAGGAAAAAAAAAAAAAAUAGUACAUGGCACUAUUUCUUGAGAAAGCACUCAGGGACUGUAGUCAUUGUAGGUAAAUAGAACAUAUAUAAUGCUGUUUUAUUUGUUUUACAUAAAUAAUAUGCUGCAGUGUACAUUUGUCUGCAACUUAAUUUUUAAUUCAUUUUAUUUUUGAAAUUUAACCAUGAUUAUAUAUAUAUAUACACACACACACACACACAUAUAUAGAUAGAUAGAUCUAAUUCAUUCCUUUUAACUCUUGUUUGAUAGUCCAUCUAUACUCAUUCCCCUAUUGGUGUUCAUUGAGGUUUUUACUUUUUUUAUAUUGCAAAUAUCAGCACAGUGAGCUUCUAGAGCAAUGUAUUCAUUCAUAUGUGGGAUUAUGUCUCUGGGUUUAUAUCUACAAAUGAAACUACUGGGUAUAUGCAUUUCAGUUGACUGCCAAAUUACCUUCAGAGUCAUCUCUCCCUUUUAUUUAAGUACUCAUAAUUUUCUUCUAAUUGUUAGCUCUUUUUCCAGUCUGAUCUCACUCACACCUUUAACACUGUCACCAGGAUCUUCAUAACUCAAAAGUACAGUCCUGUGAUUUCUGUUUUUGAAGUCUUUCAGUGGGUUAUCAUUACUUAUAUGAGAAAUUUAUAAGUCCUUAAUAUGACAUAAAAAUCUUCUUUAGCGUAAUCUUCCCAAAUCCUCUAAUUUAGUUGAUCACGAUUCUCCCGCAUUUACUCACAUUUCAGGCAUAUUAGAUAAUGUUGAAAAAGGUGAGAUCAAUUCUGUAUAGGACCCAAUAAAUAACUUAUGUAGGGAGAAAAAAACUUUUAACAGUGGCCCUAUUUUGUAGGAAAGUUAAUUUACUUUGGUUAACAAUGUCAUAUGUCUUGGAAAAACAACAUCUAUCAUUAUUAUCUUCAUAAAAUUAUGUUCAGUAUUAUUAGGUGCCAUUUUAGUUGAGUGUCUUAAUUUUACUUUUUUCCCAAGGAUACUUUCUCUUGGUCACAGUUAAUAUGGUUUCUUAGACUUUUUGGAUGUCAUCUGCUCUUCUAGGAUAAUCUGGAACCACACUGAUAGUUUAUUUAAAGAAUUGUCACAUUUAUAGGGCCAAAAUGAUUUAUGAGCAUUUAAAAAGAAUGAACAACAUAUUUAUUAAGAGGGGGGGCAGUAAAGAGUAGAUGAGGAUGAUAAUUUUAUUGCCAGCCUACUAUUUUUAUGUUAGCAUAUGCUUGUAUAUAUUAUCAUUUUUCUAGUAUACACACACAUCUGUUUUAAUUUUAUGUAUAAAAUAGAUAGUCAACUUUGAUGUAUGGUAAUAUAGAACAGGAAAAGCUCAAAUUAAUUAUGUAGUAUUUUAUAAAUAAUCUACUUUCUGGUCUCCACGCCCCGCCCCGCACCGCCACCCUGCCCCGCACCGCCACCCCUAGUUACUUCUGUAUCUUCUGCAGCCACUGUUAUAAUGUUAAUAAGUAAAAAGUCAAAUAGCCCAUAGGCUAGAAUAGUAAACCUGGGGCCCUGAUAAGCAGAGUUUAAAAUAGUGAGGGGUUGCUUAUAAUUGGACUAAGAACCUGUAAAUUGAACCUUAGUUUGAUUUGUUUCCAGAUAUGUUUCUAUUUUUUUUAAAUGCCAGUUAUUUCAUGGCCUGCAGGUUUUAUGAACAUAUCCCAAGAACUUUAAAAAUAGAUGUUGCAGCAGCAAUACUUAAUAUCUACUGUCUUAGCAGUUACACCUCAAUAAAGCUGGGAAAAAAGUUAAAAUUCAUUUUAGCAAUGAAUUAAAUUUUAAUGAUUGAGUAUUACUUAGAUAUAAUAAAUAGCAAACAUUAAAAACAAAUGAGAUUGAAAACAUGUUGCAUCAGUAUAAAAUAUAGUGGAUAUGCACAUAUAUGUAAAUUCAAUAAGUCUUGCAAAAACUUUUCACUCAAUAGUCAUAAAUAGUCAUUUAUGUUUUUAGAUCAGUUUAAGUUCAUGAGAAUAAGUUUGCUUUCUGCCUGGAGAUCGUAUUGAAAGCAGGUCGAAUUAGGAUUAUACAACAGAGUUUUGAAUGCCAUGCUAAGCUUCAUAGCAAUGAUUUGCAAGCUUUUUUUCUCUACACCAUUCAUAUGUUCAAUUCACAGUGUUUAGCAUCUAUUUUUCCAGGUAGUAAUUCAAGAAUCACAGGUCUAUUGAGAAAGGCAAGGGGCAUGUAAGCUUUUGGAUUAGGGGGUGGACAGUGACAGGAUCAAGUGUGUGUUUUAGAACAAUUAACUGAUGUAUUAAAUAGCAUAAAUGAGUUGAUAUAUUGGAGGGAAGAUAGAUUAGAUUAAGGAAGACUAAUUAAGAAGCUUUUACCUCAGCCUGAGAGAUCACAGCCUGAACUAUAGUAGUGGCAACUGGAACAGAGAGUUGGAAGAUAGAUGUUUCUAACUUAGGGAACUUGAUGAUGACAUUUAAAGAACAGAAUGUAAGGAGCCUAACUUUCAUAAAUUCUGACCAUUUUAUAAUCAGGUUUUCCUUACUCCUAUCACACUUAAGUUAUUGGUAAGUGAACCAGAGCAUUGUACUGAUUAAACAUUAGUUGUGAUAUUUAACAUUAAAAUAAUAAAAUUCAUACAGAGGUGAUUUUUGUUUUUGAUAUUAAGAAAUCUGAAAAACUUUGAAUAGGUAGUAAAAGAUGAUGAAUUCUUAGAGCUUUACCUCAGAAUGUGUAAUUUUCAUGCUUUUCCUUUCUAGAAAUCUAGGAAACCUGACAUGGGACCUUUGGUAAAUACAUUAUUAUUCAUACAUUUUGAUGGAAUAUAACUAAUAUGUUUAUUUUCUCUAAACCAUAGUUUCAUAAGUACAAGCCAGACCUUUGAUUUACCUACCCUAUCUUCUUUACUGAUGAAGCUGAAACUACUUUGUGAUGCCUAUUGUCCCAGAUCUUUCUGUUAAUUGCCUAACAACAAACCAGUUUAGAAACAUCAACUGGAAUCAAUUUGCAUUUGAAAAUUAGAUCAGCACAAAGACUUGAUAUUGUGGAAUGACUAGCAAACAAGCAAUGUCAUCUAACGAACAAGAAAGGCUCUUGUGUUAUAAUGGGGAAGUCCUUGUUUUCCAGUUGUCUAAAGGAAAUUUUGCAGAUAAAGAGCCUACAAAAACACCCAUAUUACAUGUCAGAAGAAUGGUAUUUGACAGAGGAACAAAAGUAUUUGUUCAGAAGUCCACUGGAUUUUUUACCAUAAAGGAAGAAAACUCUCAUUUAAAAAUCAUGUGUUGCAACUGUGUGUCAGAUUUCAGAACUGGAAUUAACCUCCCUUACAUUGUGAUAGAAAAAAAUAAAAAGAAUAAUGUUUUUGAAUAUUUUUUACUAAUCCUUCACAGUACUAAUAAAUUUGAAAUGCGUUUGAGUUUUAAACUAGGCUAUGAGAUGAAGGAUGGCCUAAGGGUCCUUAAUGGCCCUUUAAUUUUAUGGAGGCAUGUCAAAGCAUUCUUCUUUAUCUCUUCUCAAACUGGCAAAGUUGUUAGUGUGUCAGGUAACUUUUCCUCUAUUCAGUGGGCAGGGGAGAUUGAAAAUUUAGGUAUGGUUUUAUUGGGACUAAAGGAAUGUUGUUUAUCUGAGGAAGAAUGUACUCAAGAGCCUUCAAAAUCAGAUUAUGCAAUUUGGAAUACCAAAUUUUGUGUAUAUUCUCUUGAAAGUCAAGAAGUAUUAAGUGAUAUAUACAUUAUUCCUCCUGCUUACAGCAGUGUGGUGACUUAUGUACAUAUUUGUGCAACUGAGAUCAUCAAAAACCAGUUAAGAAUAUCUCUCAUUGCCCUUACUCGAAAGAAUCAGCUGAUUUCAUUUCAGAAUGGAACUCCUAAAAAUGUGUGCCAGCUUCCAUUUGGAGAUCCUUGUGCAGUUCAACUUAUGGAUUCAGGUGGAGGAAACCUCUUUUUCGUUGUAUCCUUUAUAUCCAAUAAUGCUUGUGCUGUAUGGAAAGAGAGCUUUCAGGUUGCUGCUAAAUGGGAAAAACUUAGCUUAGUACUGAUAGAUGACUUUAUUGGAAGUGGAACUGAACAAGUACUCCUACUUUUUAAGGACUCCUUGAACUCAGACUGCCUGACUUCAUUUAAAAUAACGGAUCUUGGAAAAAUAAACUAUUCGAGUGAACCAUCAGAUUGCAAUGAAGAUGACUUAUUUGAAGACAAACAAGAGAAUCGUUACCUGGUGGUUCCACCUCUAGAAACAGGACUGAAAGUUUGUUUUUCUUCUUUUCGGGAAUUACGGCAGCAUCUGUUGCUUAAGGAAAAAAUUAUUUCAAAAUCUUACAAAGCUUUAAUAAACCUAGUUCAAGGAAAAGAUGAUAAUACGUCAAGUGCAGAGGAGAAGGAAUGUCUUGUUCCUCUUUGUGGUGAAGAAGAAAAUUCUGUCCAUAUCUUAGAUGAAAAGUUAUCAGACAAUUUUCAAGAUUCAGAACAGCUAGUAGAGAAGAUAUGGUAUCGUGUAAUAGAUGAUAGCUUGGUUGUUGGAGUGAAAACUACAUCUUCUUUGAAGCUGUCCCUGAAUGAUGUGACUUUAUCAUUGUUAAUGGAUCAAGCCCAUGACUCCAGAUUUCGGCUUCUAAAGUGUCAAAAUAGGGUGAUUAAGUUGAGUACAAAUCCUUUCCCAGCACCAUACUUGAUGCCAUGUGAAAUAGGAUUGGAAGCAAAAAGGGUCACGUUGACCCCUGAUAGCAAGAAAGAGGAAAGCUUUGUUUGUGAACACCCAUCUAAGAAAGAGUGUGUACAGAUAAUUACUGCUGUAACAUCUCUUUCACCACUUUUAACAUUCAGUAAAUUUUGUUGCACUGUACUGCUACAAAUUAUGGAGAGAGAAAGUGGUAACUGUCCUAAAGAUCGUUAUGUUGUGUGUGGCAGAGUUUUUUUAAGUCUAGAAGAUCUUUCAACUGGGAAGUACCUACUGACAUUUCCAAAGAAGAAACCUAUAGAGCACAUGGAAGAUCUUUUUGCACUUCUUGCAGCAUUCCAUAAAUCUUGUUUUCAAAUCACAUCACCCGGCUAUGCCCUGAAUUCAAUGAAGGUGUGGCUCUUAGAACAUAUGAAAUGUGAAAUAAUCAAAGAAUUUCCAGAAGUGUACUUUUGUGAAAGACCGGGAAGUUUCUAUGGGACACUCUUCACUUGGAAACAGAGAACACCAUUCGAAGGGAUUUUAAUAAUCUAUUCCAGGAAUCAAACAGUUAUGUUCCAGUGCCUUCAUAAUCUCAUCAGAAUUCUCCCUAUAAACUGUUUCCUCAAAAAUCUAAAAUCAGGAAGUGAGAAUUUCCUAAUUGAUAAUAUGGCAUUUACUUUGGAGAAGGAACUAGUCACCCUUAGUUCUCUUUCUUCUGCCAUAGCUAAACAUGAAAGCAAUUUUAUGCAGAGGUGUGAAGUGAGCAAAGGAAAGAGUAGUGUCGUCGCGGCUGCUUUAUCAGACAGAAGGGAAAAUAUCCAUCCCUACAGAAAAGAACUUCAGAGAGAAAAGAAGAAAAUGUUGCAAACGAACCUAAAAAUCACAUGUUUUGGGGAAAGCCAGCCAACCUGCCAUGAGGACACUCAAGCAGCCCUAGGAAGAGUCCUACCUUGCAAAGAUCUGAGGCCUCCUGCUAACAGCCAGCAAGGAAUUGAGAACUCCAACUGCCAGCUUUUGGGCUGGAAUCAACACCACCAGCUCUCCUGGUUCUCAGGUCUUCAGACUUGGACUGGAACUAUAUCAUUGGCUCUCCUGGAUCUCCAGCUUGCUGACUGCAGAUCUUGGGACUACUCAGCUUCGAUAAUCAUCCACGUUGGAAACCCCAGUCAAGCCUUCAGAUGACUAAAGCCUGAACUGACAUCUUGAUUGCCAAUGUGCAAGAGAUGCUGAGCCAGAACUCCCAGCUAAGCUACUUCUAAAUUCCUGACCCACAGAAAGUAUGUGAGACAGGAGACAGAAUUCAACUCUAUAUGAGGAUGAACUUUUAACAACUCUGUGACUGAACAUGGAACAUACCACCUUGGAAGGUGGCACAAGUGAUCCUGAACUUUUGCUGCUGUGUGCUGGACUUCUGUGAAUGUGAUUAAAGAAACGUUAGCACCAACAGGGAGGCAGUGAGGAGAAAAUUGAGAAAGGCACAACAUUAAAAGGUAAUGUACAGCAAAGAGGAUAUUUGUGCUUGUUUACUUGUUUUCCUUAUCUAUGGCAGGACAAAAUGUUCCUGAGAGGUAGCGAAGAGUGAGACAGGGCAGCUAACAGGAUAGAUUUAUCUCUUCCAGCCCAGAGUAUGUGCAGGAAACCUUUCAGUGGAUGCAGUCAGAACUCAGUGAGCUCAUACCCACAUAAACUCCUCAAUAUAAGCAAUGUCUCACAACAAAUAUUCAGCUUUACAUCUAGGUAUUUGCAGCAUUAAUAGGGACUGUGAAAUAUUUUUGUUUUCAUUCCAACAGAGUAGCAUAUAACUAUUACUUCACCAGCAGGAUUAAUUUAUCAAAUAUUUUCUGGAACAGAUUUUGAAAAAUCUUUCUCUCUCUACUGUACAUAAAAUGUUAACUUUAGUUCUCAAGCAAUAUUGUUACAGGAGGUAACAUUCUUCAUAUCAAAGGGUAUGUUUCUCUCCCAGAGUUUGAAAUGGAAAACAGGUGCAAGCCUUUUGAUAGCCUCUAUGAGAUUGGGUUAUAAACCAGAACAGUGCUUUCCAAGCAUGUCUGCACACCAGAAUUGCCUGGGGAGCUGCAGAAAUACAGAGGCUGGUGCCCCUCCUAACAUUGAGGUUUAGUUGGUGUAAGGUGUGUCUAAGGCUUGGGAUUUUUAAAAUAUCCCCAGGCGAUUCUAAUGUGCAGGCAAGUUUGGGAACCACAGGACUGGAGAUCUUGAGCUAUGCAUUUCAAACCUGAAGUCUCUGGACAGUGUAAAGCUUAGAAUUCUGCACUAAAGUUUAAGUUGAGAUAAUGAGGCCAGUCUCACUGGAUUUAUCAUGUUGCAAUCUACAUGGGUACGGCAUAAUUUACAUAAAGCCAGAGCAAUUGAUGAAAAAAAGUCAAUCAGAUCAGUGAUGUACACGCACGCACGCGCGCACACACACACACACACACACACACACACACACACACACACACACACACACACAGUCAAUAUUUAGAAGAACCAGGAUUUUAAAGUAACUUUGUCAAAUCAAGUAUAUAUCCCCAAUUAGAGUUGCCAGAUAAAUACAGGGAGCCCAGUUACUUCCGAAUUUCAGAUAAACAAUUUUUAGUAUAAGUAUGUCCCAUGCAAUAUUUGGUAUGUGCUUAUACUAAAAAUUGUUUCUUGUUAUCUGAAAUUCCAGUUUAACUCCAUGAUAUGUAUUUUUAUUUGCUGAAUCUGACAAUCCUCCCCAAUUUUAAAGGCCUAAGCUGAGCACUAAGUCAGUGUAGUAGGACAAAUCAGAACAAAAAUUAACCUUGGCUUCUUGCUUAUUGUGUGCUCUUCUGUUUUCUGAAUUACAUUGCCUAGCUAACCAACUCAAGCUCUACAUUGUCUGAACUGAGGGGCAAUCAUACCUUAUUCUGCCUCUUCUGUCUUCUUCGGAGGCGCAGGAACUCCUUGUGUUGCCUGGAGACGAAGUUCACCGCUGCGUAUUCCAGUAAGGCAGCAAACACAAACAGAAGGCACACCGCCAUCCAGAUGUCAAUCGCUUUUACAUAGGAGACCUGAGAGAGAGAGAGAGACACACACACACACAGAGAGAGAGAGAGAGAGAAAGAAAGACUAUGAAAGCCUGCCAGGAAACCAGAUUCUUAAUGGUGUGAGCAGCAAAAUAACCUAAUUUCCUUGGUCAAUGAUUUUCCAGCGUUUUCUUAAGAAAGUGCUUAAGCCAUUGAUUCUACUUUGAAGAUUCUGGGCAGAGCACUGAAAGUCACACGCCCCUGAACCAGUAGCUUUAUUCCUGAGACCAGCUCCAAUGACUUCAAGAAUUUCCUUAAUGACAGAUUUUAAGUGUUCUCACUACAAAUAAAUAUGUGAAAUAAUGCAUAUGUUAAGUAGCUCAAUUUAGACAUUCCAUGAUGUGUACAUAUAUUGAAACAUGUUAUACACCAUAAAUAUAUACAAUUUUUACUUAUCAAUUAAAAAUAAUUAUUCUCUUAAUUAGACAAGAAAAACAAAACUUUGAGGCAAAAUAGAUGGGUGCUAUUAUUCAAACUGCUCACUUCUAUUUUUUAAAUUGAAAUUUAAAAAUCAAUAUAAUUAAGAUAAUUUCAAAACAUGGAUGAGAAAUAAACUAUAUAUGGCCUUAGGCUCUUCAAAAGCCAAUUUGUAAUUUUCUUCAAUUUACUGAUCCUAACUGACAUGAAAACACAGUUCUAAAUAGUUUUAAAUCCUCACAAUUAAAGAGUAUUCAACCAAAGUAAAAUAUGAGGAAUACAGCCUUGAGAAGGUAUCUGGUUAAAAAGAAAACUUUGAUAACCCUUCAGUGUUUGCUUAAGUGUUUAGUAAGUCUUAUAAUUUGACAAAGUAGAUUCUGAAAGCAAAUACUUUUUGCUUGCAAUGGAAAAUGCCCCUCAUCUCACUCGACUUACAAUUAUUUUUUCAAGUGUAAAAGGGAAAAAUAAUUGGAGGAAGCUAUAAAAUAUUGGAUCCUAGACUACAAAGAAUACUUAUUAAACUACCAUCUGAAUGUGUACUAUUCAGUUCUAAUUUUUAAAUAGAGUUUCCUAUAUUUUGAUAGCUGUCAAGUGCUUGCCAGCCAGUAUUUUAAGCAUUUUACAUGUGUGAAUUUUUUAACCCUUACAACAACUCAUCCCAAUUUUCUGAUGAGAAAACUGGGGUAAAGAGGGAUGAAAUUAUUAUCCAAGGUAACAAAAGUAAUAAAUGACAGAGUCAAGAUUGGAAUUGGAA